AUUGAACGCUGGCGGAAUGCUUUACACAUGCAAGUCGAACGGCAGCACGGACUUCGGUCUGGUGGCGAGUGGCGAACGGGUGAGUAAUACAUCGGAGCGUGCCCAGUCGUGGGGGAUAACGUAGCGAAAGCUACGCUAAUACCGCAUACGAUCUAAGGAUGAAAGCGGGGGAUCGCCAGACCUCGCGCGAUUGGAGCGGCCGAUGGCAGAUUAGGUAGUUGGUGGGGUAAAGGCUCACAAAGCCGACGAUCUGUAGCUGGUCUGAGAGGACGACCAGCCACACUGGGACUGAGACACGGCCCAGACUCCGACGGGAGGCUGCAGUGGGGAAUCUUGCGCAAUGAGCGAAAGCUUGACGCAGCAACGCCGCGUGAGGGAAGAAGGCUUUCGGGUCGUAAACCUCUUUCAGUUAGGACGAAGCUUUAUUGGUUAAUAACCAAUUGGAGUGACGGUACUUUCAGAAGAAGCCCCGGCUAACUACGUGCCAGCCGCCGCUGUAA
rnacentral:rRNA from 1 species